AGUUGGUUAAUAGUAUGAACUAUACGUAUUUUGAAAGUAUGAUAAAGGAGUUUGAUUCUCCUCCCAACUU
rnacentral:tRNA from 1 species